AGGACCCGUUGUGAUACUUCUAGCAGCCUCCCACCAUCGCCUCCGCCGCCUCAACGUUGCCUCAACACCGCCGUUGCUGCCUCCAACUCCAUCGCGGCCUCCUAGCCGUCGCUAAAUCUCCCUCUCCCAUAGUCCGCCAGACAUUUGAUUAUUCUCUGCGUUGUUUUAAGAGAAGAAACCUAGAAAAGAUUGCAAGAAAAGAAAAUCGGAAAAGAAAAAAAAAAUAGAGGAAGUUGAAAUGACAGCGAGUGGAAGACGAGAGAUAUUGUCUGGUCCACUGCCUUUUGCUAGAAGUUACCAAAUGGAAGCAUUGGCAAAAGCCAUAAAGAAAAAUACGAUUGUGUUUCUAAGUACAGGGUCUGGCAAAAUGUUGAUUUCCAUAAUGCUUCUUCACAGCUAUGCAUACCUUCUCCAAAAGCCUUCGCACAAUAUUGGGGUUUUCUUGGUGCCUACUAUUGUUUUGGUCCCCUAGAUAUGUCAAAUGUUAAUACUUUGUUUAAACCAUUCUUUUUUCUUGUUUAGGACCUUUCUUACUUAUUUGGGUAAUUGAUUUAAACUGGACACAAUAACUGUGCAUCUGAUCCUUGUUAUUGUUUAGAAAAAUACUCAUAACAAGCUAAAGCCAUGGCGAUGCACACAAACCUCAAAGUUGGCAAAUAUUGGGGAGAGAUGGGAGUUGACUAUUGGGAUGCCAGAAUCUGGAGCCAACAUGUGGACAAUUUUGAGGUGAAGUACAAGAUUGUCAUUCUUUUACGAGAUAAUGGCACCUAGUAAGGAGUGGAUGAAUUUUGUCAAUGAUCGGCUUAUGAUGUUAUACUAAUUAUCUUUCUCACUACAUUAAGAGAUGAUGUUGGAGAAACAAGAAGCUGCAGCCUUUGCAUCAGAAGAAGAAAAAAGUUCAACACUUACUCAAAAAGAAAUUUGUGCUUCAUCAAUAAGGUUGAAAUCAGGUUACUUUAUUCUAAACCAUCUAAAAAGACUCGGGCAACUCCACCGAAUCAUUCAGAAACAGAACAACUUAAACAACAGGUGGAGAACUUGUUACAGUAUAAUGAGUCAAGAGAAAUUGUGUUUGAAGCAAAGAAAGAGGAGAUCCAUUAGUUGAAGAGUAUGUUGGCCAUUGUUUUAGAAAAAGUUAGAGAAAAACCUCUACAUGAACCAUCAAAUGUAGAAGAUGGCAACAACUCUUAGAUGUGUGGUUCUUUAAGGGUCCAAAGAAGUUGAAAGUUUAUUUUGACUUGAUAUACCUUUUGCUUGUUUGUCUUUAUUUGAUGAAUAAUUAUGCUUGGAACAUGUUUUUGAAUAUUAGAAUUGAUGAGUUUUGUCAUUUGUGGGAUA